rnacentral:lncRNA from 10 species
UUUUGCUUCAUUGGUGUGCUUGAACAUUUCUGGAUUCCUAGACUCCCAGAAAGCAGUGAGAGGAUAUUACGUUGCAGAAUUUGGUCAGAAUAUGAAGUUUGGAAGACCCUAUAUUCCUGCAGAUCCUUGGAUUGAGGUUAAUUCGAGAGCAAGCCGUGAGUGAGGUAGCCUUUAUUACUCAUCAUGUGUUUAAGAAUGAUGCAAUGAGGCUUUGUUCUCUGCCUAUCUGAAUCACGUGGCCCAAGCAAGAGAUAUCUAUUGAAAUAGCAGAUAGUAGUGUCAUUCCAUUAUAAUUACCAUUAUUUGAGCUUCAGAGAAGUGGCAUUGAAUAACUCAAUUGGAGAAUAUGCAAGUAAAAUUAACAAAACCGUACACUAUUAAAAAAUGACUUGGUAGAUUUCUUCCAGAAAACUUAGAAAACAGA